rnacentral:rRNA from 1 species
AACGAACGCUGGCGGCAGGCAUAACACAUGCAAGUCGAACGCCCCUUACGGGGAGUGGCAGACGGGUGAGUAACGCGUGGGAAUCUACCCAUCUCUACGGAAUAACGCAUGGAAACGUGUGCUAAUACCGUAUACGCCCUUUUGGGGAAAGAUUUAUCGGAGAUGGAUGAGCCCGCGUUGGAUUAGCUAGUUGGUGGGGUAAAGGCCUACCAAGGCGACGAUCCAUAGCUGGUCUGAGAGGAUGAUCAGCCACAUUGGGACUGAGACACGGCCCAAACUCCUACGGGAGGCAGCAGUGGGGAAUAUUGGACAAUGGGCGCGAGCCUGAUCCAGCCAUGCCGCGUGAGUGAUGAAGGCCCUAGGGUUGUAAAGCUCUUUCACCGGUGAAGAUAAUGACGGUAACCGGAGAAGAAGCCCCGGCUAACUUCGUGCCAGCCGCCGCAGUAAGAC